CUGGACUUGUUUGGGGAUGCUGCGUGGAAUGUAAUUCAAACUGAUACUUAGCUACCCCUAAAAGCUGCUGUAUGCUGAUAUCAUUUAAGCCAGUUAAAUCAAAUGCCAUGUAUUUGGCAAAAAGCUGUUUCGUUCCUAGCAUAACGAAUCAACAGAAACUGCCUCCACCACCUCUGGCACUCCCCUGUCAGAAUCACUUAGUGAAGAAUUUCUGUUGCUUUUUCUAUUCAAGCAGAGGUCAACAACCAUCCCCUGGAUAGCCCUGUCAUCAGGCUGCCCAUAUGGCCAGUGCACUGAGCCCCAGGAUGUGGCCUCUGGAGUCCGCACAGCUGCAGCUCUGCAGGAUGUUUCAAAAU
rnacentral:lncRNA from 1 species